GGUGAAUGCAUGGGGUGGCCAGCUCAUGUUUUCCUGUCCAUGUUGUGCAUGACUGACAACCCACCUUUACUGUAUGGAACAACCACAGCUGGAGGUGAAAGUAAGGCUGUACGGAGAAGAUGUGGCGUCCCAACAAACUCGAUGGAGGAGUACAAAGAAUCUGAAAAGGAACAAAUGGGAGACUUCAAAGUUCAACACUAAUCCAGGACCAAACCCCAUAACCGGACACCAAAGACAACCCAUGACCUCAUCCAUCAUAGGUCAUGACAAUCCCAUCCACAAAAAGCUAUGAUGUAAGCUUAAUAGGCAACUGUUGAAAAUUAUGGAGCAAUCUUGAAGAAGCUGAGGUUUCAGAUGGAACCCUCUAGCACAAAUUCCAGUCCAAAACAGUACACCAACACAGCUCCCAAUGUUGGCAUUAGCUACACCUGAUCAAGCUCAGGCAACACCUGAACCACCAGCAGUGGGCCGCCAUUCCAGGGCUGUAGCUGCAGCCGCCCCCUACCAAUCACCUCUGCCACCUCACCCCCAGACUCAUCCUAUCUAACCUCACCCUAUACAGCUCCAGCCUGUAGCGCCCCCCCCAACAAGCCUCAAAUAAAAAAAAUCUGAUUUUACAUGUCCAUUUAAAACACUGUAAAUCCACUCCACAGCGGCCUAUUAACUUGAAACUUGUCAUCACUAUCAUAGACAUCCCUAAGAUGAACCACACUGACUUUGGCAAUGAUAUCUAAAAAAACAACACUAAUGCUAACACUAAUGCUCAGAAUCAUAUUUUCCUUGUGAAUCACAUGUCAGAUUCACUCCAGAUGUAGUAUUUAGAAUCAUGAUUACCCAUAAAGGAAGAUAGUUCCUACUUGCUUUGUGAACCCCGUUCAUUGCUGCUCGCAGCUAUAUUUUAAUAAUGAAUCUCUUAUUUCGGUCCUGACAAUUCAUCCAUUAAUACUGUUUCAGUUUUUAUCUUAACUUCAUAUGAUAACCAUCUUAUCACGAUUGUAUUGCGUUACCAAAGAUCACGAGCGUGUGCUGCACGUGUUUGCAUGUCUGAGUGUGUUUGUAGGGCAUGGUAGAGUCAUUACUGGAGUAAAGUUCUGCUGGAGAAGGAGCUGCUUCUGCUGCUCAGACAGGAGAGAAGACCUGAAAUACAACCAUGUUAAAUAUUACUCAUCAUGGGACACUUCCAGUCCAAACAACACUUACCCAGCCAACCCAUUAGUCACAGCAAAAAUAAAUUACAGUAACAGUCUAGACCAGAAUCAGUCAGCACAGCCAGUAACAACAAGAAAUCAACUGUCUGUCACUAUCAGACUAUAUAAAAAUGUAUCACUGUCACAAAAGUAGUGGCCGUGGCUAUCACAACAACAACUGAUCAACAGCAAUCAACCAACAACAUCCUCACAAAACAAUCAACCAACACUAUCACCAAUCAUUAUACUUUUCUGGUGAUCAGACAUGGAGGAGGUACUCACGGACUCAUGCUCUUGGGGAGCUGCAGGCCCUGUGCCAGUGCUUGUAGGCCCAAAGGAGGAGGCUGGGGCCGCAGGGCCGGUAGGGUGGGCUGGGG